GAGUGAGAAUGUCAAUAAGAAAAUAGAUGGUGUAUACUGCAAUGAAGAUUGGCAAGAACAUACAUGGCAAUUCUCCGUGCCUGUCAAAUUGAUUUUAGUUUGUUUUAAUAUGGCCUCAAACAAGUUGCUACAUC